rnacentral:sRNA from 1 species
GCCGAGUGUGUUGGUGCACACCUGUGUCCCAGUUCCUUGGGAGGCUGAGGUGGGAGGAUCACUCGAGCCCAGGAGGUUGAGGCCUUAGUGAGCCAUGAGUACACCACUGCACUCCAGCCUGGGUGACAAAGUGAGACUCUGUCUCACAAAUAAAUAAAUAAAUAAAUACAAGGGAGGCUGAGGCAGGAGUUCAAAGCUGCAGUGAGAUAAUGAUCAGGCCACUUUACUCCACCCUGGGCAACAGAGUGAGUCCCCGUCUCU